rnacentral:rRNA from 1 species
AUACGGAGGGUCCGAGCGUUAUCCGGAAUCAUUGGGUUUAAAGGGUCCGUAGGCGGGAAUCUAAGUCAGUGGUGAAAUCUUGCAGCUUAACUGUAAAAUUGCCAUUGAUACUGGAUUUCUUGAAUUAGUGUGAAGUGGUUAGAAUGUGUAGUGUAGCGGUGAAAUGCAUAGAUAUUACACAGAAUACCAAUUGCGAAGGCAGAUCACUAACACUAUAUUGACGCUAAGGGACGAAAGCGUGGGGAGCGAACAGGAUUAGAUACCCCAGUAGUCC